GAUGAAGAACGCAGCGAAAUGCGAUACGUAAUGUGAAUUGCAGAAUUCAGUGAAUCAUCGAGUCUUUGAACGCACAUUGCGCCCCCUGGUAUUCCGGGGGGCAUGCCUGUCCGAGCGUCAUUGCUGCCCUCAAGCACGGCUUGUGUGUUGGGCCUCCGUCCUCCUCCCGGGGGACGGGCCCGAAAGGCAGCGGCGGCACCGCGUCCGGUCCUCGAGCGUAUGGGGCUUCGUCACCCGCUCUUGUAGGCCCGGCCGGCGCUUGCCGACACAUCAAUCUUUUUUCCAGGUUGACCUCGGAUCAGGUAGGGAUACCCGCUGAACUUAAGCAUAUCAAUAAGCGGAA
rnacentral:misc_RNA from 1 species